UACGUAGGGUGCAAGCGUUGUCCGGAAUUAUUGGGCGUAAAGAGCUCGUAGGCGGUUUUGUUGCGUCGGCCUGUGAAAAUCCCGAGGCUCAACCUCGGGUCUGCAGUCGAUACGAGCAAACUAGAGUGUUGCAGGGGAGACUGGAAUUCCUGGUGUAGCGGUGAAAAUGCGCAGAUAGUCAGGAGGAACACCGGUGGCGAAGGCGGCAUCCUGGACCGACAUUGACGCUGAUGAGCGAAAGCUAGGGGAGCAAACGGG
rnacentral:rRNA from 1 species